CACGUAGGGGCCAAGCGUUGUCCGGAUUUAUUGGGCGUAAAGAGCGUGUAGGCGGUCAGGUAGGUCCGUUGUGAAAACUCGAGGCUCAACCUCGAGACGCCGAUGGAAACCAUCUGACUAGAGUCCGGAAGAGGAGAGUGGAAUUCCUGGUGUAGCGGUGGAAUGACGCAGAUAUCAGGAGGAACACCGAUAGCGAAGGCAGCUCGCUGGGACGGUACUGACGCUGAGGCGCGAAAGCGUGGGGAGCGAACAGG
rnacentral:rRNA from 1 species